rfam:Flavobacterium granuli strain DSM 19729 genome assembly, contig: Ga0134107_103
UUGUGACCAAUAAAAAUAACAUGAACACAAUUUUAAACAAUACUUGGUGGUGGAAUAAUUUACGUCAGUCGUCGUGAACUAAGCUCCUAUAGUAUUAUUUAAACUAUAAAUAUAAAAGGCUUGUC